rnacentral:rRNA from 1 species
UACGUAGGGGGCAAGCGUUGUCCGGAAUCAUUGGGCGUAAAGAGCGUGUAGGCGGCCUCGGUAAGUCCGCUGUGAAAGUCGGGGCUCAACCCUCGGAUGCCGGUGGAUACUGUCGGGCUAGAGUGCGGAAGAGGCGAGUGGAAUUCAGGUGUAGCGGUGAAAUGCGUAGAUAUCUGGAGGAACACCGGUGGCGAAGGCGGCAUCCUGGACCGGCAUUGACGCUGAGGCGCGAAAGCCAGGGGAGCAAACGGG